rnacentral:lncRNA from 10 species
AAACACCCCAUCCUCUCUUCUCUUUUUCCUGCUUUACUUCAUCUGAUUUCAUUCUCAAACAGAUUUACUCAAAGAUGACUGCAGAGGAAUGUUCUCAGAGGGCUCUAAAUAGGUUGGCUUUGGAUCUGCCCUCUUAAAACUAAACAUUACCACAGAGGAAUGAAGUAUUCUGAUCACCCAGUUUGGGAGCUAGAGAGAAUGGGGGUAGCUACGUUCAAACCAUUUGGAUGAGGCAGGACUCGCCUGAAAUGGGAAACCAUCUCACCUACAAACCGAGUAUGAGAUAGAGUUCAAAUUUUAGAAUAAGAACUCUUAAUUCAAACUACAAGUCUUAACUGACGAUUCAAGAGGAGAGACUGCAGCAGCUCUGGGUUUCGAAGGAAACCGAUACAUCCUGCCCUCAAACUGUGAGGCACUAUAGGAGCAAGAUGUAAAGGAUGCAGUGCCUUUGCGCUCCCACCUCCGCCACCGUGGGUGUCAUAAUACAGAGGUGAAAGUUCAACAUGCGACAGAACUGCCCAUCUCUCAUAUCCAUGUGGGCCUGGUUGGGUGGUCAAUUGCAACUCUUCCCUCAAGCAGCCAGAGAGAGGGUCAGAAGCAAGGCUGGGCCAUCAAAUACCCCAAUACUCAGCACAGUGAUUGAUCCAGGAAUGGGCUCCUGAAUCCAGCAGUCUCCUGGGUUUUUUUUCUGACAUUCAUUUACUGCUAAUAAAGAAUACCACGUUGACUCCA